GAGUUUGAUCCUGGCUCAGGAUGAACGCUGGCGGCGUGCCUAAUACAUGCAAGUCGAGCGAACAGAUAAGGAGCUUGCUCCUUUGACGUUAGCGGCGGACGGGUGAGUAACACGUGGGUAACCUACCUAUAAGACUGGAAUAACUCCGGGAAACCGGGGCUAAUGCCGGAUAAUACUUAGAACCGCAUGGUUCUAAAGUGAAAGAUGGUUUUACUAUCACUUAUAGAUGGACCCGCGCCGUAUUAGCUAGUUGGUGGGGUAAUGGCUUACCAAGGCAACGAUACGUAGCCGACCUGAGAGGGUGAUCGGCCACACUGGAACUGAGACACGGUCCAGACUCCUACGGGAGGCAGCAGUAGGGAAUCUUCCGCAAUGGGCGAAAGCCUGACGGAGCAACGCCGCGUGAGUGAUGAAGGUCUUCGGAUCGUAAAACUCUGUUAUUAGGGAAGAACAAAUGUGUAAGUAACUGUGCACGUCUUGACGGUACCUAAUCAGAAAGCCACGGCUAACUACGUGCCAGCAGCCGCGG
rnacentral:rRNA from 1 species